GUGGUUCGGUUUUGGCAGGGAUCGAAGGCGGCAUCUUCAAAUAGGCUCAUGGCCGUGCUGAUAAGGACAUCGAUCCGUUCGCGGGACUCGAGAGCCAGGUCGCUGUAAUAGCGGCGGUUCUUGUCCAUGUCUCUGGCAUUUUGGCAGCUUAUCCCCGUAGCAACCCCGUCACCUCUGGAGUCGUUCUCGUCCUGGCUGGUCAGGGAGCUAUAGGGGUAUCGACGAGCAAUCGGUCGCGCGCGGUCAGUUUGAUAUGCUGGCAGCUCAUUCGCGCCAUUGCAAUCCUCAGAGCCGGGGUCUGGGAUGUCGCUGCUGUACGAGUACACGGGGCAGGCGGCUUCCCCUGUCUGACCUGCUCGGUGGGAGAUAUCCAAACAUCUGUUUUUGCAGUUUAAGGGAG
rnacentral:sRNA from 1 species